ACCUUUGGAGCAAGUCGUCGUGCUUCCUACUUGAAAAUGAAUAUCGAAAAAAACGAAAAUGCGAAAGAAAUUAAAGUUGGGGUGAUUGGGGCGGGGCGAAUUGGGCUUGUGCAUCUUGAAGC
rnacentral:sRNA from 1 species